ACGGGGCCCGCACAAGCGGUGGAGCAUGUGGUUUAAUUCGAUGAUACGCGAGGAACCUUACCUGGGCUCAAAUGUAUGUUGACGUAUUCUGAAAGGGAUACUUCUUCGGACAAUAUACAAGGUGCUGCAUGGUUGUCGUCAGCUCGUGCCGUGAGGUGUCGGGUUAAGUCCCAUAACGAGCGCAACCCUACCUUUAGUUGCCAUCAGGUAAUGCUGGGGACUCUAAAGGAACUGCCUACGCAAGUAGUGAGGAAGGCGGGGAUGACGUCAAAUCAGCACGGCCCUUACGUCCAGGGCUACACACGUGCUACAAUGGCCGAUACAGAGGGCAGCUACCUGGUGACAGGAUGCAAAUCUCCAAAGUCGGUCUCAGUUCGGAUCGGAGUCUGCAACCCGACUCCGUGAAGUUGGAUUCGCUAGUAAUCGCGCAUCAGCCAUGGCGCGGUGAAUACGUUCCCGGGCCUU
rnacentral:rRNA from 1 species